GCACACAUCGGUUUGUUUGCUUGAGGAUGAGAUUUGUGUUUGUGGUUUGUGGUAGCGGUGAAGCAACUUUGCCAAAUAUUCCGUUCAAGUUCCUCGCUGGAUGUCCCGCUCGUCCGUCGAUGUUCAACAGGUGAGGGAACGUUUCAGCAACGCCUGCGAGUUUCAUGCUCCCGGUUCAAAAGGUGAGGGCGUCUGUACAAAAUUGUAAAAUGGGCCGCUCUGUUACUACAGAUGCAGCAAGUGCCAAUCCACUUUUUCUCAGCUGCACCUUCUCAGUCCAGGCAGCAACAGCACCAGGUGAAUGUAGGUACACAACUUCCAAGUGAAAGACGCACGAGUGCAAUUCUGAAGCUGAUUUUCAGGCAUGGAGAGAAGAAAUGCAGGAUGCAGCCAAGAGUCAUUUUACUAAAGGCACAGGGAGAAGAACGUCAAAGGAAAAAGGUCCAUAAAAUCAUAAGGUUCCGUCAGGCAUGGGGCAACCUGCAUUGAUGAUUCGUCUGCAUUGUUCCAGACUGGCAAGGUUCUAGGACACAACGGGACAUUCCUAAGGGGCCCCCUACCAUCUCGCUCAUGAUCAGAGCUGACAAUUAAGGCGUAAUGGUUUCAAAUUUCCAAAGAUUCUCUAAGAAGUGGCAUGCAUUUCAGAAUUUGUAUGAGUACAACACAACAGCGUGUACAGCCCGAGACAAAAGUUCACGGCACUACGCCUUUCUUCAUCGGAGCGGUCCCCUGCCAGCUACCAGCAAGAGAUCGAAUAAGAAACGGGUCUAUCUCUCAGUAUGUGCGUCCGCUCUUGUUUGAUGCUAGGGUGUCACUCCAAUGGAGAAAUGUGACACCAUGGUGAUCCGUAAAGAUUUGUACCAAGCUGCACAUCGUACAACCCCGACAACUAACAAACACUGCUCGGUAAGGUCAGUGUUCCAAUUUGAGAUUUUGCUGCCUAUUUCUUCCCAAAAGGCUGCUCUUGCUUGUGAACUCCGGUGUACCAAGACAAGUUCAGAACAAAGAAUUUAUAGUUAGACUUUGAAGGCAGUAGUCAACAUAAAUAAGUUUUACCUCUGAGAUGAUUGCCCAUUCAAGGCAACAACAAACUCGUAGGUUCACCACAUCAUCUAAACUUCCUCGGCCUGUUACAGCUUGUUUCUGUCCACAAGGAGUGGUGACAAGAACUAUCAUUCAUC